GGCGGCCCGGGCUCCUGGCUCCGCGUCCCCGCCGGUCCCAGGAGCCCGCGCGUCUCAGGGAGACUCGCUCAGCCCCGCGGCGCAGAGCGGGACCCUUCCCACUGCCACUCUUCAGGACUGCUCGGCUUCUGCCCCCGCGCUCUCCAGGACGAGUGAGGAGGAAGGAGCUUCGAUGUCCGAAGCUGACGGACGCGGGGCGUUGGCCGAUCGCUGAACCCACAGGAUUGUGAACCUGUUUUGUACAAAUCGGCUGCUUAUCUGAGAAGCUGUGGCUUCUGAGUCACUGGCGGAGGCUCUGCCCCUGCCCCUCCUGGAGUGGCUGCUCACACUAGCAUGAACGGGGCUGUUCUCUCUGGCCUUGGAGCUGCGGAGGGAGAGCAGGCUCCGAUGAUCACGGCCCUUCCCAAAUGAGGUUAUACUCAGUUACCAGGAGCUUUAACGACCCACUCCUAAACCCUGAGCAGAUACCUGCUCACUCCCAAGCCCUUCUGAACACCCCUUUGGGUAUGAAUUUGAGGAUCUGAUUUGACUGUCAGCCUCAAAAUGUUCAGGUCUGUCGUGGUAGAGUUCUGCUCUUGAUCGUAUCCCUUUGUCACACGGUAAACAACAGGGACUACCUUACUUCCGUAGACAGAACACUCCAGGUCCUUCUGUUGGAAAAUGUUCAGCGAAGGCUCAGUGUGUUUGUCAGUGUGGAAACUGGUCGCAGUAAACUGAUGGUCUCCUGGCCACAGUUAGGGAUGAACUGCACCUGAGUUUGCCCCCGUGCUUUUGGAAUAGGCUGCACUUAGUGACAAAGUCCGUCUUUGGAAUAAACUGUCACCGUUUUAAUGUUA